UGCGGAGGGAUCAUUACAGAGUUUUCUAAACUCCAACCCUAUGUGAACUUACCUUUGUUGCUUCGGCGGCGGAGGCUACCCUGCGGGAGAAUACCACUUAGUGGUUACCCUGUAGUUUCAGGUACAUCAGCUACCCGGUAGUCAUCCCCGCCGGCGGCCAACUAAACUCUGUUUUCUUUGGAAUUCUGAAUAACAAACUUAAUAAGUUAAAACUUUCAACAACGGAUCUCUUGGUUCUGGCAUCGAUGAAGAACGCAGCGAAAUGCGAUAAGUAAUGUGAAUUGCAGAAUUCAGUGAAUCAUCGAAUCUUUGAACGCACAUUGCGCCCAUUAGCAUUCUAGUGGGCAUGCCUGUUCGAGCGUCAUUUCACCACUUAAGCCUUGUUGCUUAGCGUUGGGAGCCUACGGCACGGCCCGUAGCUCCUUAAAGUGAUUGGCGGAGUUGGUUCUCACUCUAAGCGUAGUAAUUAUAUCUCGCUUCUGUAGUGGUCCCGGCCCCUGCCGUAAAACCCCUUAUACAAAGGUUGACCUCGGAUCAGGUAGGAAUACCCGCUGAACUUAAGCAUAU
rnacentral:rRNA from 1 species